CUUCAGAGGAUGCGAAAACAAUGAAACAGGAGACGGUAUUUUUUACUUGUAUAAUCUUUGUAGAAUCUAAAAAUAGGUACAGGAUACCGUAGCUGUGCGAAAGUAAAAAAAGAAGUAAACGGAGCAAAAGAAGACCGGGUGGAAUGGUUGAAGUAUCGUUGGGCAUCCUUGGGGCAUAAAGUACCAUUAAGGUGUGAGUCUCCGUGGAAAGUUGGACGGUUUUACAUUUUGGAAAUAAUGGAUAAGUGGAAAUUCAUUGAACACCUGGGAGGUGUGCGUCAUGCAAGUGAUCAGAGUUCUUCCAGUGAUUUUACAACUAGUGAUUUAACUCUUUCUUAUUAUAAAUCAAUCACUUACAUGACUAAAUUUGUUUAAACGUUUUUUUAAAGGAAGACACAUCUUAUCGUAAUCAAUUCCUUAGAUUCCUCCAGUAACGUCGUCAUGUAAGAUAUUAAUGAUCUGGAAAUUAAAAAUGUUAAAUAGUUAAAUGACCAACAUUGUUAUUCCCACAAAAGAAGUAUCCGUACUCCGAGGGCGUAAAAUUACGGAAACGACGAGAUUACUUUAUCUCGAGAGAACGAACAUGCAGAGAUCAGGUGCACCUUGCAAAAAUUUAAACUGGCUGACGGAUUCACAGAGAAGGAAAAAAAAUAACUCCCAUUAAAAGUUUAACGCAAGAUGAAUUGGACUCGUGGUUAAUGAAACUUUUGCUUUGAGUUUUAUAAUUUUUUUUUUUUCGUUCAGUUCCCGGAAGUUAACGAAACAGUAAUUCACGCAAAUUGUACAGAUGUUUUUUAAAUUUCUUUUUCCGGCAAAGAAGGCGAACAGAAGAAUGAAUUUUCAGACAAUAUACGUAAAACGAAGAGUCUGCGAUACUUCAACCAUCACCUUGUCCCUGAUGGUUAGUCGUUGAGUUACAUAUUGCGAUAAACAGUUCACGAUUGAAAUCACAUACCGAGGGAAACAACCACGAACUAUCCCCGGAUAAUUAAUGGCAAUUUCAAGUGACGUAGAAGCUGAGUGCUCCGGAUGUCGAGUCUCGGGGCUAUCGCAAAAGUUGCUGCACCGAACUCGACGAAUUUAUGAGGAUUGUUUCGCCAACUAGACGAUGGAAAAUUAACUCUCUCCUAUUUUACUUUUUUUUUAUUCGCUCAGUUUGUACUUUGUUGGGAGUGAAUGAUAAUUUUCGUAUCUCAAAUCCCGGGAAACAGUACGUCCGGUUUGUCUGCUUUUGAUAUCACAUUUCGUUGAAUUUUAGAGGAAUCGCACACCGACAAAUCACGAAGCCUCAAAGAUGAACAUCACUUCUAUCUCCAUUUGAUUUUAAAAUACCUGAUUGCCUUCUCCACAUUGAUAGUUAUUAAAAAUAACUUCCAAAAGUUAUAAAUCUCUAUAUCGAGACGCAAUUCCCUGGAAGUUGCAGACUUCAUUAGGAAUUCAAUUCAAUUUCAUGAUGAAUAUUAUUUAGAUGAAGGUUCCGUAAUAAUCAUUGGAAAUAUGAUAGAGGCUGGUGUUGCGAGUGGAUGCAAUUGUCAAUGUUCAUCAAUUGUUAAUGAUACAUUAUGAAUAGCUUCGUCAUUGGUAACUGUAAAAAAAGCUGAACACCGGUGUUGGAGUGAAUUAUAAUUGUAAAUAAAUGCAAGAAGUUGGAGGAGAAUUAUUCACCGCAGGUCGCAUUUGCGACUGGGAGGGCGAAACUUGCGGUAGACUGACGAAAGAUGCGAUGGAAUUAUUAUAAUAUCCAGGGGUGAUCACCUGAGACGCAGACCCAGUGUUACAAUUUUAUUUUAAUCACAUAAAAUAGGAAGCAAAUGCAUCGCGUCUACAAGGCUGAUUCGUCUGGCCUUCGAACAAUGAGCGUUCAAUGCAAUCACAUUUUUCAUUCACUUAUUUAACAACUCAAUAAUACAUUUUCUGACAACAAGAAGUUCUCUUGAAUUGAGAAUAAAUUUUCUAAAGUGGCGAAACAAGUUUUUUAGAAUCGAGGGAAUAGUUUUCUUCUUCUCUUAACACCGGAAAUAUUUUUUUAGUGAACAGCAAGGCACAUUUUUUAUAUUUCACUAGAAUUUAAAUCGUAAUUGUCGGAUAACUUGACUAUUGAAGAGUGAAAGGUGUUCUGAGGUGCAGAAGAAAAUGAGAAUGAUAUAAUAAGUUUAUUAAAUGAAGGCAGUGUUUGAAUUUUUGUAUGGGAUAAGAGCGAUGGCAAUUUUUGUCGAGCUAUCAUGAUGCCGCCAUCUGUUCAACUUUGACGCAACAUCCUGAGGAAAACUCGUCGGAUACUGCGAUACGAUCAAUUUGAAACAGAUUUAAAAAAUCUAUUCUAUUCAAUACAAUGUCUUCAAAAUACACGACUAAAAGAAAAAUAAAAUUUCAUGUGCAGUUGUUUG